GUCUGGCUGGCUCAGCUGGUGGAGCGUGGGACUUUUGAUCUCAGGGUCGUGGGUUCGAGCCCCACAUUGGGCA